rnacentral:lncRNA from 1 species
AACCUGCAAAAUUCCAACCUGCAAAAUCCCAAACCUGCAAAAUUCCAACUUGCAAAAUUCCCAACCUGCAAAAUUCCAACAUGCAACCUGCGGUUUGUACCUGUCGAUUGUUUUACUCUCUCUAAUGCCAGAUGAUUUUACUCAUCAGGGGGAAAGUGUUAAUUGCCACUCAAUGGGUUAAUAAUUUUUUCACAGCUCACCUUAUUAGAGGGUCCUGAAGGGGUAAAAUGGGAACUGGGAAUUGCUUAUUUUUGGGUGGGAAAAUGGGAUUUCAUGCACUGGGACUGGGAUUCAUCAGCAACAAAACAAUAGAAAAUGGGAAUGGGAUUAAGAUUUGAGCAGGACAGCCACUAAGAUGAUGGGAUCUGUGCUCUG